GGCCCUGUAGCUCAAUUGGAUAGAGUGUCACACUACGGAUGUGAAAGUUGCAAGUUCGAAUCUUGCCAGGGUCACAA
rnacentral:tRNA from 1 species